rnacentral:rRNA from 1 species
UUGUAGUGUAUUGGACUACCAUGGCAGUCACGGGUAACGGAGAAUUAGGGUUCGAUUCCGGAGAGGGAGCCUGAGAAACGGCUACCACAUCUAAGGAAGGCAGCAGGCGCGUAAAUUACCCAAUCCCGAUUCGGGGAGGUAGUGACAAGAAAUAGCAACUCGUGCGGGUUUCCGUUACGGGAUUGCAAUGAGAUAAGUCCAAAUCCGUAAACGAUUAACAAUUGGAGGGCAAGUCUGGUGCCAGCAGCCGCGGUAAUUCCAGCUCCAAUAGCGUAUACUUAAGUUGUUGCAGUUAAAAAGCUCGUAGUUGAAAUUCGAGUCAGUUACUAGUUGGCUUUUCGUCAGUUAGUUAAUUGAUUCUCCGUCUACAAUCCCUUUUGCGCUUUAGGGUUGCGGCUGGGCGAGUAGACAAUUUACCUUGAAAAGAUUAGAGUGUUCCAGGCAGGUCUUCGCCGGAAUACAUUAGCAUGGAAUAAUGGAAUAGGACUUGGGUCUUUUGUUGGUUUUAGGACUUGAGUAAUGAUUAAUAGGGACAGAUGGGGGCAUUAGUAUUUAAUUGUUAGAGGUGAAAUUCUUGGAUUCAUUAAAGACUAACUUAUGCGAAAGCAUUUGCCAAGGAUGUUUUCAUUAAUCAAGAACGAAAGUUAGGGGAUCAAAGACAAUCAGA